GAGUUUGAUCCUGGCUCAGAUUGAACGCUGGCGGCAUGCCUUACACAUGCAAGUCGGACGGCAGCACGGGAGCUUGCUCCUGGUGGCGAGUGGCGAACGGGUGAGUAAUGCAUCGGAACGUAUCCUGGAGUGGGGGAUAACGUAGCGAAAGUUACGCUAAUACCGCAUAUUCUGUGAGCAGGGAAGCGGGGGACCUUCGGGCCUCGCGCUCUUGGAGCGGCCGAUGUCGGAUUAGCUAGUUGGUGAGGCAAAGGCUCACCAAGGCGACGAUCCGUAGCAGGUCUGAGAGGAUGAUCUGCCACACUGGAACUGAGACACGGUCCAGACUCCUACGGGAGGCAGCAGUGGGGAAUUUUGGACAAUGGGGGCAACCCUGAUCCAGCCAUGCCGCGUGAGUGAAGAAGGCCU
rnacentral:rRNA from 1 species